GUCGGCGUGGUCACCGUGCAGCCUCAGACCGUGCCAUUGGUGACCGAAUUGCCUGGCCGCCUGGAAGCCUCCCGCGUCGCGCAGGUGCGUGCCCGUGUGGCCGGCGUCGUGCAGAAGCGCGUCUUCGCCGAAGGCUCGGAUGUGAAGGCCGGGCAGCUGCUGUUCCAGAUCGA
rnacentral:ncRNA from 1 species